rnacentral:rRNA from 1 species
UACGAAGGGGGCUAGCGUUGCUCGGAAUCACUGGGCGUAAAGCGCACGUAGGCGGCUUUCUAAGUCAGGGGUGAAAUCCUGGAGCUCAACUCCAGAACUGCCCUUGAUACUGGAGAGCUUGAGUUCGGGAGAGGUGAGUGGAACUGCGAGUGUAGAGGUGAAAUUCGUAGAUAUUCGCAAGAACACCAGUGGCGAAGGCGGCUCACUGGCCCGAUACUGACGCUGAGGUGCGAAAGCGUGGGGAGCAAACAGG